AUUGAACGCUGGCGGCAGGCCUAACACAUGCAAGUCGAGCGGAUGAAGGGAGCUUGCUCCUGGAUUCAGCGGCGGACGGGUUAGUAAUGCCUAGGAAUCUGCCUGGUAGUGGGGGAUAACGUCCGGAAACGGGCGCUAAUACCGCAUACGUCCUGAGGGAGAAAGUGGGGGAUCUUCGGACCUCACGCUAUCAGAUGAGCCUAGGUCGGAUUAGCUAGUUGGUGGGGUAAAGGCCUACCAAGGCGACGAUCCGUAACUGGUCUGAGAGGAUGAUCAGUCACACUGGAACUGAGACACGGUCCAGACUCCUACGGGAGGCAGCAGUGGGGAAUAUUGGACAAUGGGCGAAAGCCUGAUCCAGCCACGCCGCGUGUGUGAAGAAGGUCUUCGGAUUGUAAAGCACUUUAAGUUGGGAGGAAGGGCAGUAAGUUAAUACCUUGCUGUUUUGACGUUACCAACAGAAUAAGCACCGGCUAACUUCGUG
rnacentral:rRNA from 1 species